UACGGAGGGUGCAAGCGUUAAUCGGAAUUACUGGGCGUAAAGCGCACGCAGGUGGCUGAGUCAGUCGAUUGUGAAAGCCCUGGGCUUAACCUGGGAAUUGCAGUCGAUACUACUCAGCUAGAGUAUGGGAGAGGGUAGUGGAAUUCCCGGUGUAGCGGUGAAAUGCGUAGAUAUCGGGAGGAACAUCAGUGGCGAAGGCGGCUUUCUGGUCUGAUACUGACGCUGAGGCGCGAAAGCGUGGGGAGCGAUCCGG
rnacentral:rRNA from 1 species